rnacentral:rRNA from 1 species
AUAGAACGCUGGCGGCAUGCUUUACACAUGCAAGUCGAACGGCAGCACGGACUUCGGUCUGGUGGCGAGUGGCGAACGGGUGAGUAAUACAUCGGAACGUACCCAGUAAUGGGGGAUAACUAGUCGAAAGAUUAGCUAAUACCGCAUACGCCCUACGGGGGAAAGAGGGGGAUCGCAAGACCUCUUGUUAUUGGAGCGGCCGAUGGCUGAUUAGCUAGUUGGUGGGGUAAAGGCCUACCAAGGCGACGAUCAGUAGCGGGUCUUAGAGGACGAUCCGCCACCCGGGAACUGAGACACGGUCCAGACUCCUACGGGAGGCAGCAGUGGGGAAUCUUGGACAAUGGGCGAAAGCCUGAUCCAGCAAUGCCGCGUGCGUGAAGAAGGCCUUCGGGUUGUAAAGCGCUUUUGUCUGGGAGCAAAUCCUUGUGGCUAAUACCCACCGGGGAUGAGAGUACCAGAAGAAUAAGGACCGGCUAACUACGUGCCAGCAGCCGCCGUAA